AAUCCAUAGGUUAAUGAGGCGAACCGGGGGAACUGAAACAUCUAAGUACCCCGAGGAAAAGAAAUCAACCGAGAUUCCCCCAGUAGCGGCGAGCGAACGGGGAGGAGCCCAGAGCCUGAAUCAGCAUGUGUGUUAGUGGAAGCGUCUGGAAAGGCGCGCGAUACAGGGUGACAGCCCCGUACACAAAAGCGCAUGUGCUGUGAGCUCGAUGAGUAGGGCGGGACACGUGGUAUCCUGUCUGAAUAUGGGGGGACCAUCCUCCAAGGCUAAAUACUCCUGACUGACCGAUAGUGAACCAGUACCGUGAGGGAAAGGCGAAAAGAACCCCGGCGAGGGGAGUGAAAAAGAACCUGAAACCGUGUACGUACAAGCAGUGGGAGCACCCUUUGGGUGUGACUGCGUACCUUUUGUAUAAUGGGUCAGCGACUUAUAUUCUGUAGCAAGGUUAACCGAAUAGGGGAGCCGGAGGGAAACCGAGUCUUAACCGGGCGUUAAGUUGCAGGGUAUAGACCCGAAACCCGGUGAUCUAGCCAUGGGCAGGUUGAAGGUUGGGUAACACUAACUGGAGGACCGAACCGACUAAUGUUGAAAAAUUAGCGGAUGACCUGUGGCUGGGGGUGAAAGGCCAAUCAAACCGGGAGAUAGCUGGUUCUCCCCGAAAGCUAUUUAGGUAGCGCCUCGUGAAUUCAUCUCCGGGGGUAGAGCAAUGUUUCGGCUAGGGGGCCAUCCCGGCUUACCAACCCGAUGCAAACUGCGAAUACCGGAGAAUGUUAUCACGGGAGACACACGGCGGGUGCUAACGUCCGUCGUGAAGAGGGAAACAACCCAGACCGCCAGCUAAGGUCCCAAAGUCAUGGUUAAGUGGGAAACGAUGUGGGAAGGCCCAGACAGCCAGGAUGUUGGCUUAGAAGCAGCCAUCAUUUAAAGAAAGCGUAAUAGCUCACUGGUCGAGUCGGCCUGCGCGGAAGAUGUAACGGGGCUAAACCAUGCACCGAAGCUGCGGCAGCGACACUGUGUGUUGUUGGGUAGGGGAGCGUUCUGUAAGCCUGUGAAGGUGUGUCGUGAGGCAUGCUGGAGGUAUCAGAAGUGCGAAUGCUGACAUAAGUAACGAUAAAGCGGGUGAAAAGCCCGCUCGCCGGAAGACCAAGGGUUCCUGUCCAACGUUAAUCGGGGCAGGGUGAGUCGACCCCUAAGGCGAGGCCGAAAGGCGUAGUCGAUGGGAAACGGGUUAAUAUUCCCGUACUUGGUGUUACUGCGAAGGGGGGACGGAGAAGGCUAUGUUGGCCGGG
rnacentral:rRNA from 1 species